GCACUUUGCGCAGCUGCUUCCGCCGCCAGUCGGAGCGCUGCUCCCGGCCGCCGCCGCCGCCCGCCUCCCGCAGCAGCCCGCCGCUCCCCGCACCGCUGCCCUCGCCCGCGCCGCCCUUCGGGCUCCCGCAUGCGGCGGCGGCGGCCCCUUCCGCGCCGCCGCCCGAGGAUAAUCCCGACGACGAGGUACUGGAAGAGGAGAAGCUAAAUUUCAUUUGAUGAUGUUAUGAAAGCCAAAGUUUUAGUUCUGAAUAGCAAAGCUUUCUAUUUCCCUGGCUCCUAACAAAGCAUGAGAACAGGACACAGUCCAGUGAAAUUUCCAUCCUUGAGGACAGCAAGCUAGACAGCUGACCUGGCUUAAUGCUGGCAAGUGUCCUGCUGCGAGCAGGAGGUUGGAUGAGAAAACCUCAAGAGAGCCCUUCCAAACAACAUCCCAACAGUCCUACAGUGGUGUGCAUGCAAUGAGUGUUACAUUUGGAUUGGCUUCUGGUGUCUGAAAAAGACUGAGAGUGGAUGAUCUCCUGCAUGAUUGCCAAGUUAGUAAAAUUCUUGAUCUUGGUAAAAUAGAAAUGCUUGAUUUAUUAUAGUUUUCUGUAUGUUAUAUUAGGAGAUGAAUUAUUCAGUUUUUCAUAUUUGCUAACUCCAAUAUUAUGUAGAAGGAGAUGCUGAAGCAGUUCAUGAAUAGGUCACAGUCAUUAACCCAGUUUUACAGAUGACCAAUUUGUGUUCUCGUUACAAAUGAUAGUUAGUCCUUUUCUGGAUUUUGGCAUUCUUCUUUCCCUUAGGAAAAAGAAAAAAAAACAAAACAAAAAGAACUGAAGGGAAAUUGCAGAUAAGCACAGGCACUCUGAUCUGUAACUCUUUAUCUUAUCUUUUGUCCAGGCCUUUUGAAGAGUACUAGCUUGACAAAAGGAGCCUGAGAUGAGAAAGAAACCUCUGACUCAUUUUAUUAUCAAUACCUUUACUGGAACUGGGAAGGCUUUUUUUUUUUUUUUUUUUUUUUUUGUCACAGGGAAAAGCUAGAGUGAGAAAGUACAAACCUCCAUCUUACAUACUAUGUAGAGCAUGGCUAAUAUGAUGCUAACAUUUUUACAUAUAUACCACGCUUUACUGCUAAUUAGGGCCAGGCAGAAGGAAUUAAGGGAGCCAUUUUCUACCCAGAAGUGUAAUCACAUCCAAAUCAGUGUUUAGCAUAUAGAUAUUUCAUUGAAUUUUGUUUGACUAAAGCAGCUCUCCAUGGGUUGUGAUAAGGUCUAAAUGUCUAGAUGUUCUACUGUUUUCUGAUAUUUUUUUUUCAGUGCAUUUUUUCAGUGCACAUUAUUAUAUAGUAUGUAAAAUGAUCACGUGGCAAUUACCCUUGAAAUAAAACAUUCACCUGAAAAUACUGUUUGUGUUGAUUUCAGCUGAUUUUUUUCCUUAGAUUUCUCACUUGGAGUAUUAAAAAAAAAUCUAAGUCGUAAGGGAGACUGAUUCUGAAGUGAAGAGAGAAAUCCUCCUGCAGACAGAAUUCUUUUGUUCACGUCUGUUACAUCCACAAGCAUCUGGAGAUCACCUACAGACAAGAUAAACUUCAUCUCCCUCCAAGUCACUGGGAGUUUUUACUUUGAAUAUAUCCAUAACAUAUGGGCAAAAUUAUUUUUUAAGCAAAUAACGUACUUAUUUGGAGACACCCAAAAUAUACUGGGUUUCAAACAUUUGUAUCUGUUGCUGUACAACUGCAAACAAUCUUUGUAUGUUGCUCAAUUUUCCCAGAGCAUUUAGUCAGCAUGAUGAACAGUUUCUGGAGCAAAAAUAAAGCCAAAUUAGGAUAGGCAUUUAUCAAAGCCAUCAAAGUUAUUUUGCUUAGAGUGAAAGCCAAUAGUAUUUACUCAGUGUCUCCUGAUAAGCUCAUUCACAGAAUAAUAUCUUGCUGGAAGAAAUAUGCAUACAUCAACAGAAAGUCACAAGCAGACAGCCUCAACUUGCCUGCUUUGCUGUUCCUCUGAAGCAUGGAAUCAUUAAGGUUAUUUUACAGAUCUAGAAGUUAUUACUUCAGAUAGAAAAGUAGCAAGAUGCUAAUAAGAAAACAUAUGCAAGGUUCUGUUAUUUUUGUGCUGAAAAAUAAAGCUAUGUAUCGAGCAACAAAUAUAUAUUAGGCAUUUUUUAAGGCUGUAAUUCUCUAUGGGUCCUGCUGAUUUUUGUAACUGCACGUAGUACCCUCAAAUGAAAAACAGCUGGCAAACUGUUAGUUCCUGCAUCUGACAGGGCUUGAUGCUUCCAGAAAAAUUUACAUGCAAGAAAUUGUGUUGUUUCAAGUUCAAUAAUCUUAUUUUUGUUAGAAACUCUGAAAGAUACAUCAAAAUAAUUUCGGAAGAACUAAAGAUGUACAGGUUAUGUGACAACGUCUAUUUAAAGAAGAAUGUAGUACCAGAAAUGAAAAUAAACCUUAAGAAGAACAUGCCAUAAGGGAAUUCAUACAGGAAUAGGUCUGGAUUUGCAUUACAGAAGACUGCACUGCUGGGAGCAGAACCAUUCAAGACAAUACCAAACUUACGAGCCAGGCAGCUUGGUCUUGAUAUCCAAAGUUUCUGUCCCCACAGUUGUGUCUAUUCCAUCUCUUCUAUGGUUUGUCUAAAUCAAAGCCGUGCAGUGACCCUGCUUUUAAUCCUUACAUUUUCUGCCAAAGUGCAGAUACCCGAGCAGACAGGGCAUGGCUGAGGCUUCUGACUCAGAGCACUGCUUUCCAUGCACAGAAGCUGAGCUGCUCACAGGUCAGUUGUUGAAGAACUGCAGAUUACACUGUGACAUUUACCUUUGUAUUUUGCUGUAAACUACGCUGGUUUAGCACCUCAUCCAUACAUCUCAGCCAUGCCUGCAUCUGGGGAGUGAACAGAUAAAACUGUCAAUAAUCAUCUUGUCAGCUGUUCCUAGGCAUGCUUUUUCCCUUGUAGAAUCAGAACCUUUUCUAAAGGUCAUUCUUUUUACUUGUUUGCUCUUUUUUGGGUAAGAUCAUAAGCAUGCUGAUUUUAAAAAGCAACUGCAGCAACAGCUACUGGCAUGACAGAGGAGAUAGCAGGUUCUAGCCCAGGAGGCAGCAACAAGUGGGCAUAGCCUGAUAACCUCUAAAGCCACAUUCUCUCUUGACAAGGUCCUGAUGUAUAGCUACAGCUCCACUCUAUCACAACUGCAUUUGGUCCACUUAUUGCCAAUAUGCAUACUCAAUCACUGCUAUCUACAGGGAGAUAUGCCCUGUUGUCCUAAAGCAGAUAAUGUAACCCUUAGUCAGAUGGGCUUUACAAAGCAUUCCCAGCCUCCAGGGCAGAUCUUCGCAAUGAAAGCCAUGUUGUGGCCCACAGCAUAUGUAUGCAAACGAUGGCAUACAUGCAGGAGACCCUCACACAACAGUGUUCCAGUGAAGCCCAGUAGGAAAUCACCAAGGUGAGCCUUCAUGCUACCAUGCGAGUCUAUACCUCAAAAUGUUGAUUCCCAGCUCUGUCAGCUGUGGCUGCCAUGCUAUGGAAAUCUGAGUGGGCGGGGUGUGCUGGCGUGGAGCAUGUUAAGUAGCUAGGUCUUUUGCCUCUGUAGAGACAUAAACCAACACUGGCUUGCAGUAGGUCUGGGCCCAGCCCAGUUCACCCUGCAAGAGAGCAGUGGGACACUGAGAUGUUGCUUCAUUUCUGCCCAAGCCUCUUCUAAACCUACUUCUGCCCACCACAAGAACCAGUAAACAGGAUUAAGAAACCGAGAAUCAGAAUCUGCUUGCAUUUUAUGAACCAGACACAUACACACUGUAUGUACAGAGUUUCAGUGAUACAGAGCCAGAGCCUACAAAACUGGAAGUGUUGCUUCUUCCUUGUCACCCGAACUGUGUAAGCAAAUGCUGCAACUACACGCAUUUAAAUGUAGUUCAAAGUCUUACUGACUUGGAGACGUGUUGCAUGGAGGAAAUUAGUUUAUCUGAGUCUGAAACAUCAAAAAGACUUUAGGAAGGCAAUACAGAUGAUUGUCACCACAGCUUUGUUUAUAUCUGUGACUUAAAAUGCUGCUAUCUGUAAAUAAAAAGAAUGAGAAAGCAGCCAGUUUAAUGCCUGUAGACAAAUCAUCAUAGCUUCUUGUUCUGGGGAGGCAGGGAAUCAUCUGUCCUUAGAAGAAGCAAGGCCAGAAGUGCUGGCAUAGCUCACAGCAGGGCACAGGCAGACGAUGGACAAGUCCUUUCACUUAAUUUUACUGAAAUGUGUACCUGUUCACAUCACUGGUGGCCUCUCCACUUCAGACCUUCUUCUGCUCCUGGAAGCCAUGAAACAAAUGCAGCUGUUUGCAGGGCGUAUACAGCAGUCACAGGAUAUGUGUUUUCCAGCAGCACAUGCCUUCCUUUGGGAUUUCAUCUUAAUGAUUUGGCCACUGUCAGCAAAGCUUGAGCCCAUCACCUGAGCUAUCCAACCUGCCAUCCACAAGGUCAUCUCCUGCACUUGCUGAGAAAAUGCUGAGAUGUUUAAAAGACCAUCAACCUUUAUCCAUCAUGACUCAUCUCAAUUUCUUGCAAUAUUAUCAAAGCGUUAGUCUCCUCUCUAACUCAACACUAAUUAUACUAAAAUUUUUGUUUGUUUGUUUGUUUUUGUUUUGUAGCAAACUCCCUCCACCCUAAUUUUCCAGCAGUAUUUAAAAGGAAAUGUAAACCGAUAGCAACAGCUGUCACCAAGGCAGACUACUUUGUUGCCUCCUUGUUGUGAAACUGUAGUUAUGAAAGAGCAGUUGGAUGAAGCUCAGCCAGAAUCACAAAACGGGCAAUUUGUGCUACUGACUUGAGAAAGAAAACUGUCCAGACACUUUAA